rnacentral:rRNA from 1 species
GACAGAGGGUGCAAACGUUGUUCGGAAUUACUGGGCGUAAAGCGCGUGUAGGCUGCUCUGCAAGUCGGAUGUGAAAGCCCUGGGCUCAACCUAGGAAGUGCACUCGAAACUGCAGAGCUUGAGUCCUGGAGAGGAAGGCGGAAUUCUCGGUGUAGAGGUGAAAUUCGUAGAUAUCGAGAGGAACACCGGUGGCGAAGGCGGCCUUCUGGACAGUGACUGACGCUGAGACGCGAAAGCUAGGGGAGCAAACAGG